GAUGUACCCUCUGAAUUAUCAGAGGAAGAUGAAUUAUGUCCAGCAAAGUCUGAGGGUUAAGGAUAUUGGAAAGGAACGGAAGAUAAAUGUGCCAGUGACUUUUGUAGGCUUUAGGCUCCUUGGUGAGAAAUAAAUCAGCAAAAGUUCAUUCUCUCCCCAGGGCGGUGAAUUUAUUGAGAUCAUUCCUCUGGCCACUUCUGGCAGAGCUCUGACACAUCCUGGGGAGUAGGUGAGUAAAUAACGGCGAUUUAAAAGCAGCCUGUGGGGGGGAGCUUGAGACUCCCACUGCCGUCAGCCACUUGCCUCUUCCCUUAGGGGAAGACAUAUUUCUCUCAUCAGACCAACUUAUGCUUCGACCAAGUGUGAAUGACAGGAAGGACUUCUCUUGGCCACCAACCACCCCCUUCUCCAGAGAUGCAGGUCCUCUGCACAUCUUAGCUUCCCCAGAAGAAAUACGGACUUUAAUGAAGAUUCUUUCCCUUUGGUAUAAGUGAGACCCGUGAAAACAUCCAAACAAAAAGAAAAGACAAAAAGGGAGGCGAGGGCUCAGAGAGUCCACUCUCCUUGUCCACACGGCCUAAGACGGAGUGGGCCGGUCCUCUGUUGCUGCCGCAGGGCCGGGCUGCGGGAGGGACAAGGGAUUCCAUGACUGCAGGUCUCAGGGGACCCCGCCCCGUGGGAAAGUAAGAGCCCACUUCUGGACCCGCCCCGCGGCGGGAGGGCAAGUUCCUCCAGUCGGAGCUCCCCGCCUCGGGUCGCUCCGGUGGAAAAGGUAAUGCUACCAGUUCCAACUGCCUCGCAGGCCUGGUUGAGGAAAAUGCCAACGGUCGUAAAGGGGCUUUGAAAAAGUCAGAGGUGAUGUAUAAAUGUCAUUGAUUAUUAUCAUUUUGUGCUCAGGAAGAAGCUACAGGAAACAAAUCAGGAGAGUAAAUCUACAGCCCUAAAGUAUAUGCACAUGAAAUAAAAGUAAAUGCAGCUCCAAGCCUGCGAUGGUACCUGGGGAUUGCCCCCUGCUUUGAAGUCUUAAUGCCCCUGUUCCCACCCCCCCCCCCACGUCUACCCCUGCGGGGGGCAGGGCAGGGGCCAGGAGGCAGCGCAGGACUUUGCCUAUAGCAUGUAACAUGCAGGGGACGUGGCGGGUGCGGGGGCUUAUGAACCG
rnacentral:lncRNA from 1 species